UGGCUAAGACAGUAAAGAAUCUGCCUGCAAUGCAGAAGAUCCAGGUUCAAUCCUGG
rnacentral:tRNA from 1 species